GUGAACGCGGCCUGGGCUCCGGACGGACGAAUGGCGGGAGGUUUGAACAUUUACUGCGUGUUUCCUGCUGUGAGCAACACGUAUGAAUCAUAUCAUGAACAUUAAAGAAAUGCUGAGUAUUCCAGCUGGAACCAGG